rnacentral:rRNA from 1 species
GCAUAACGCGAAGAACCUUACCCACCUUUGACAUGUACGGAAUCCUUUAGAGAUAGAGGAGUGCUCGAAAGAGAGCCGUAACACAGGUGCUGCAUGGCUGUCGUCAGCUCGUGUCGUGAGAUGUUGGGUUAAGUCCCGCAACGAGCGCAACCCUUGCCAUUAGUUGCUACGAAAGGGCACUCUAAUGGGACUGCCGGUGACAAACCGGAGGAAGGUGGGGAUGACGUCAAGUCCUCAUGGCCCUUAUAGGUGGGGCUACACACGUCAUACAAUGGCUGGUACAAAGGGUUGCCAACCCGCGAGGGGGAGCUAAUCCCAUAAAGCCAGUCGUAGUCCGGAUCGCAGUCUGCAACUCGACUGCGUGAAGUCGGAAUCGCUAGUAAUCGCAAAUCAGCAUGUUGCGGUGAAUACGUUCCCGGGUCUUGUACACACCG